rnacentral:snRNA from 1 species
GGAUGUAAGGGCAAUUUGGCUGUGACAUCUGUCACUCAUUGAUUUCCAGGAUUGAUUUGACUGAUCUGGCUAGCUAUAUGAGUGUUCCCUUCCUCUUCUAGCUAGCUCCAUGUGUGUCCCUCUGGAAACUACACUUGAAAGAAGAAUGAUAUUCCCCAAUAGAGAAGGUCUGUUCUGUCAAGUGUACACAAGUA